GGGAGAGUCUGCCCAUGCCUGGCUCCUGGCUCCAGAGGCCGUGGGCCUCGGCUCUCCUCCCCGGAGCUCGGCUUCAUCCUCACCGUGGGUUCUCCUGGGUGUUUCGUGUGGUCUCCUCGUCUCUUACAAGGACACCUGCCGUUAGCCUUAGGGCCCACCAUGAUCCACAGCCUCACCUUGAGAUCCUGACCUCACUGGCAUCUGCAAAGACCCUUAUUCCGAACAACGUCAUGUGACGAGGCCUCGGGUGGACAUACCUGGGUGGGGCGGGCACGAUUCGCUGAUCACAGGGACUGCGCGAGAACCACUUGUCCUUUUAAAGGCUUGGUAUCGUCUGAAUGUGGGGGUGCUUUCAUAAGGAAAAUUAAAGGGAAUGGUGGCCCUGAGCCAGCUUUAGGGACCACACAGUCCAGUGGGACAGGCACGUGGCUUUGGUUCUGAGCACCUGGGGAGCGGUGGCCGUGCACCAGCCAGGCCAAAGGCCACAGUCCAUGCUGCCGGCGGUAAGUGCCAGCCUGUCCAGCAGCCAGCCUUCUUUCCCAGGUAGGCGUCGCUUCUCUGGGGUCAAGAAAUCCUCAGGACCCCAAGGUCUUCGCGCCCUUGCUGCACUGGGGGUCAGCCCUAGCCAACCUCUCGGGUGCCGCUGAGUCUCGCCCACUCCCUCGGCCAGGGAAGCUCAGGCCGCCCCCGGGAGGUGGGACCUAAGGGCUCCGGGGGAGGGGGGUCUGCAGGCUGAGCAGCUGAGGGGGUGGCGAGAGGCCGCCUGGUGGCUUCCGGCUCGCAGUGCCAUCGCCUGGGGAACCUCACUGUGGGGUGAGCGCGCGCGGACGGAAGCCUGGGAAGGCCCUGCGCUCUCCAUAUCCGGGUGGUGGCUGUGGUCAGGUCACCCCGGGGGCCCCAGGGUGACUGUUGAGUUGGAAGAGAUUCACACUGACCGCAGGCAAAAGAGACCACAUGGACUGUGCCUGUCUGUGAGGCUCACUGCUGUGGCCGCCCUCUGACCCCAGGCUGACCCUGGCCCCCCUCUGAAAGGGGGGGAGGUGAACAGGAGGCUUCAAGGGGAGGACCCAGCCUCCAAGCUCAGCUCUGCGUCCAGAAGUUGGCUGUCUUAGCCGCGUUAGCUCAGGCUGCCCUAACAAGGUAGCACAGACACAGGCUUCAACAGCAGUUUAUUUCCUCACGGUUCUGGAGGCCUGGAGUCCAAGGUCAAGGUGCUGGCGGGGUUAGGGCUUUGACAUAUGAAUGGGAAUGGGGCAGGCACAACUCAGUGUAACCGCCAAGGAGUAACAGAGUCUGGAAAACCCCAGCGCAGCCAGGACAGAGUGUUGGGAAGGCGUGGGUGAUGUCAGCCAGGCGGAAGAGGGUUUUGCUGCACCCUGGCACCCCAGCGUGGCAUCACCCAGAGGCUGAUCGAGCCUGAGGUGGCCUGGGUGGGCUGAGGCGCAGAGGCCAAAGGACAGUCUGCAGGGGUGGCCAGGGCUCCUAUAGCCGCCACCCACUGACCAAGACCCUGGAGUCUUUUCCUGUCACCUGAUGGAAGGGCCCCACCUGAGAAAUGCAGCUCAGGAGUGUUUAUCUAAUGGAGAACACAAAGGUCACAGACACCUUAGCCCAUCCCAGAUGACUUCCGAUAACCACUCCCAACGCUGUGAAUAUUGUUAACAGAAAAUAGAAGAGACAGCAGCCACUCUCUUCUCCCCACUGCUCCUCUCCUUCUGGCCCCAUUUCCCUGUGCUGCUCAGCAGCAGGGCUGGGAGGCUGGGCCCACGGUGGGCAGCCACAGGCCAGUCAAGACAGCAAACCUGCAGAGGGGAGGGGACAGUCUGCGCCACCCCAAGGCAGUGCCUGUCAUGUAAUUUAAAUUGUAGCUAUGUUUGAAUGAGCUUGUGCAGCACCUGCUUCCUCUGGAUGGGCCUGGGUUGCCCGUGCUGGCUCCUGGGGGCCGUGCCAUGGGUUGGGGAAGUCUGCCUGUCCCCAGUCACUCAAGCCCUUGGACCCUGGGGGGCCACUAUCCUGGUGCCUCCUCUUCAGGUGGUUGCUCAGCCAGCAGCUACUUGGGGACCUGAACUUGCUUAGGCCCAUUCCUCAGGCCCCUCUUCGUCCCAUCUGAACCUACACAUCACCGCUGCCAGCUCGUUUCACAGCAACGAUGGAAACCCCUAAAGGAGAGUUUCUAGUUAGGCCCUGCCCAGUGCCACCCACCUGAGGGGAGUGGGAAGGCGUUGGUGUGUGGCCUGUGCCCUCACUGUUGGAGUUGAUCUGGCCAGAGAGGCCCCAAGGCCUUUCUCAGGACACACAGGCCGCGAUGCCCAGCAAGCUGCCCCCACGGUGUGUGCAUAUAUCUCCUUUGGGAGCUUGCAGAGAGGCGGUGCGUUCUCCAAUCUGGACACUUCCAAGAGAUGCAACAGGGCCCCAUCUUCCCGGGAACCACUGAUGUGGAUGCCUAUUGGUCAUGGCGCUGGCCACGCUUUCUGUGCUGCAAGAAUUGGGGUGACACAGGCUCUGCCUGGCAGCUGACCCAUCACUCUCCCCCACUCCAGCUACACCGGCUGAGCUCCAACCCCCGCCCCAUGCUCGAGUCUCCUCCCCCCACCCCGAUCCAGAUGUGCCCCUCAGCCCUGUGCUGCUUGCUGACCUGGGGCAGCUGCUCUGACAGGCCAUUUGGGCCUCUUCAAGAGCUGGGUGUAUCUGCCGUCCCCUCCUUUUCUGUUUAUCUCUCUAGAGCUAUUUGUAACAGCCCAUCAUUGGUCCAUGGAAACGCUUCCUUUUAAGGCAACUGGGGCAUUCCUUUGCGGGUGGGUAUACAAGUUCUGAGAUUUCUCUACCAAGUCCUGGCCCCCUUUUAUUCGCCCAGGGCCUCGAGCUGUGUACCUGCACAAGGACCACCAUGUGCAGUCAAGGUCUGGCCCUGUCCAGCGCAGCAGGCGGGGAGCAAGCUUGGGGGCCCAGCAAGACAGUGAUCUCUCAGCCUUCGCUCACGGCCAGCUCGGGGACACCGGGGGCGCUGUGUGCCUGUUUCCCCACCUGUCCAGGGUGGAGGGCUGCUAAGAUGGAUGGAGGUGGGAAGGAGGCCAGAGGAGGCCCAGGAAGCCCAGGGAGUCCAGAAAGGUGCAGACGACCACACUCCCUGCCUGCCUUCCCCAGGAGAGUGCCGCUGCUUUAAAGCAGAGGGUCUGCUCUCCUUGUAAGAAAAAGUACAACUAAAUAAAUACGGUAUGUGGAUGGAAAACCUUCAAAUGACUUGUUUUCUGUACCCUCCUCACCCCCUACCCCCCACCUUGAACACAGGGGAGGUGGGGACACAGGGCCCCCCAUGUGCUAUGAGCUCGGGCAGGAGCUGCCCACUGCAUCAGCGGGCAAGCUCUCCGGCCCCACCUCCCCUGGGGCCUAAGGAUCAAGGGACAGUGCCACAGGUCACUGGUGUGAUCUCGUGACAAGCAGAUGCCUCUCCCUGAGUCUGGCCCCUGCCUCCCUCCUCUAGGUCAAUACGUCCUCUCUCCCUGCAGGACCAGCACGGAGACUGCUCCUCAGUUUCUUUUCUUCUCUUCUUGCCCAAUCCCCUCUUUAAAAAAAAACGCCAUUGUUCAUAGAUUAAUUCCUUCAAACUACUCAGUGGUCUCCCUCAUUCUCUUCUCUAUGUCAGAGGGUUACCGGAAUGUUCUGGCUUCUGCAAAGGUAUGCGGACAGCAGGAAGGGUAGGUGCCAGCUGGCUUGUCCUGCCACCUGCUCCAGGCCGGGUGCCCCCCAAGCCCAGGGCCUGGCCUGUGGGGCAGCCCUCAUUCCUAGCUCCCCACAGUCCCCACACUCUGGAGGCUCCAGGACUGACGGCGCCGGUACCUGGAGGAAGACAAAAUGCGGCUGGGACACGGAUUGUCCAGAAGUGCACUCUAAUAUCUUAUUAGGUAUCUGAAUCUGUUAGGAAAAAAAUUAGAAACUAUGUAUAAAACUUAAAAAUAUUCAAGUAUCAAAAGGCUACUCGGAUCAAAGUUUAAAACAAGCUGUCAGCAAGCUGCCGCUGCCCAGUGGAAACUUUUACAAAAGUUUACUGAGUUUGUUCAG